rnacentral:rRNA from 1 species
CUGAUAGUAUAUAUUAAAGUUGUUGCAGUUAAAAAGCUCGUAGUUGAAACUUGGGUGCGUAGGGGCGGUCUCUUUUAGAGUACUACCCUGAAACAUCUUUCUUUGGUGUAAACUUUCUAUUUAUUUAGGAAGUGUAAACCAAACAUUUACUUUGAAAAAAUUAGAGUGUUCAAAGCAGGCCUUUGCUCGAAUAUAUUAGCAUGGAAUAAUAGAAUAGGACGUAUGGUUCUAUUUUGUUGGUUUCUAGGACCGUCGUAAUGAUUAAUAGGGACGGUCGGGGGCAUCAGUAUUCAGUUGUCAGAGGUGAAAUUCUUGGAUUUACUGAAGACUAAAUACUGCGAAAGCAUUUGCCAAGGACGUUUUCAUUAAUCAAGAACGAAAGUUAGGGGAUCGAAGACGAUCAGAUACCGUCGUAGUCUUAACCGUAAACUAUGCCGACUAGGGAUCGGAGGGCGUUAUAAUAACCUCUCCGGCACCUUACGAGAAAUCAAAGUUUUUGGGUUCUGGGGGGAGUAUGGUUGCAAGGCUGAAACUUAAAGGAAUUGACGGAAGGGCACCACCAGGAGUGGAGCCUGCGGCUUAAUUUGACUCAACACGGGGAAACUCACCAGGUCCAGACACAAUAAGGAUUGACAGAUUGAGAGCUCUUUCAUGAUUUUGUGGGUGGUGGUGCAUGGCCGUUCUUAGUUGGUGGAGUGAUUUGUCUGCUUAAUUGCGAUAACGAACGAGACCUUAACCUGCUAAAUAGCUGUAACAAUAGAUUAUUG